rnacentral:rRNA from 1 species
CACGUAGUUAGCCGGGGCUUCUUAGUCAGGUACCGUCAUUUUCUUUCCUGCUGAUAGAGCUUUACAUACCGAAAUACUUCUUCACUCACGCGGCGUCGCUGCAUCAGGGUUUCCCCCAUUGUGCAAUAUUCCCCACUGCUGCCUCCCGUAGGAGUUUGGGCCGUGUCUCAGUCCCAAUGUGGCCGUUUCACCCUCUCAGGCCGGCUACUGAUCGUCGCCUUGGUGGGCCUCUACCCCGCAACAAGCUAAUCAGACGCGGGUCCAUCGUAUACCACCGGAGUUUUUCACACCGGACCAUGCGAUCCUGUGCGCUUAUGCGGUUUUAGCACCUAUUUCUAAGUGUUACUCCCCUGUAUACGGCAGGUUACCCACGCGUUACUCACCCGUCCGCACUAACAGAUAAACUCACUAGGUUUCAGUUACCUGUCCGUUACGACGUUGCAUGUGUUAAGCUACGCCGACCAGCGUUUCAUCCUGACGCCAAGGACUACAAAACCGUCUUCUGUACGAACUGACGAAAGGCAACGAACC